UCCAAUGAUAGUAUUGACUCAAACAAUUAAUUUUGUUGCACGGCUAAUCAAUGCUAAUUUUGUUUUCAAGAUGAAAGAUUCAUUUUAUUUGAAAAUUUAGACCCCAAUAUAACGUUUCAUUUCCUCUUCCAACUUUUUGGUUUCUAUUUGAUUUCAUAAACUCUACCUCUCAUUCUCUCACCCCAUUCAACUAUGCUCCAUUUCAUAUGCUUUUGCUUUCACGCCAUUCAUCUUCUACGAUAUCCUUUCGCGAAAUUUCUUCCUCUUAUCACAUCAUUUUUUCAUUUUCUUUCCAAUGUCCUGUGCUAAUUUCAUUGAUUGUGUUCCAUUUUUUUCUUUUCAAACCUACAUAUGCAUAUGUUGAUGGUGAAACCCAAUUUCCUCAAGCAAACCCUAAAACCCAAUUCUCUGUUAGAACGAAGGAAUGUAUAACUCCAAACAAGGUUUAAUAUCGACAUUUUCCGCGUUGUCUCGAACCUCGGAUGUGCAAAGCUGAAUGCAUGUGUCACUUUUGCAUAUUUGAAUCGAAUAGUCGAUACUGUGAAUCUUCAGAUAAAGAGUUUCUGUGCAGAGAAAGAAGGCAAUAUAUGUUGCUGUCAUCAUUGCAAAAUGCACAGAAGCAAGCAAUUUUUUUCCAGUAUAUCGUUGCUUCUUGUGAGUUUCGUACCAAAAUCAGCAAGGGAAAUAUAUGUGGUGAUAGUUUUACUUUAUGGCUAUUCAGAUUAAAUGCUUAGAAGUUGUGCUUUGUGGAUCGCUUGUGAGGUUGGGUUUGGCUCAAAUUUUUGGGAGAGUCUUGGCGAAGAUGUUUGAGUCUACCAUGGAGGUUUACUUCAUGGUUACUUGGUUUGUGUUCUACUUUGUGUCUAAGUCAAGGUAUGCCAAUCAACAAGGCAGCAGAUUUGGGCAUAGGGAAAUUAAAGGCUUAAAUGAUGGGAACAUAUGAUACUUAGGUGUGCUUCAUCAACAGUUUUAUUAUACCGAUUUUUUAUUCAUCACGAAUAAUUGAAGUCUAGAACAAAUUCUGUCCUUGGUGAAUGGAGGACGUAUUCCCUCACUUUGUGACCUCUUGACUUGUGCAGAUCCAAUGAUUGUGUAUUUUCUUAAAUGAAUUGAAAAAUAUUUUAAAUUCAGAUCAAGCUCGCAAGGGAAUGGUUGAGGAGUUUGGAGGGAUGGAGAAGAUUGCAAUUUUACAGUGCAAUGAUAAUACUGGUGCUAGGGAUAUAGCUUUAAAGAUUUUGGAGAGCUUUUGGCAAGAGAAGAUUGAUUGGGUUUAGUAUUUUGAUUUAAGGCUUUGAUCAAGAUUUAUAUUAGAUUUCUUUGUAAAGCUGGAUUACGGUUUUGGUUUAGAGCACUAGGGUGCAAUAAAUUGUAGCCACUGAGUAUGGUUACAGAUUUUGAAUGGAUUUUAUAGAUAAACAACUUGAUCAACUUGACCAGCUGAAAUAGAUGAAUCAAAAUUAAAUUCCUUGAACCUAUACUUAUCCUUGCUCCUCAACCAAUAUAUUAAAAGAGAAAUAUUUGAACAUCUUAUAUUCAUAUUUUUAAUUCGUAGUUUUCUUUCAUCCUUUUAGUGAUUUCAUUCAUUUUUUUUUUAAAUUGGAUAAGCUUCACAUUCACAAUCAACUAUUUUGGCAGUUGAGUUCAAUGCACAUGAGAUGAUUAGACAGACCAUAUUGGUGAAGUUCUAAAGUUCAUAAAAAAAUAUUAUGGAAUAUACAUUUAAUAUC